GCUGGACAUGGUGGUGCAUGCCUGUAGUCCCAGCUAUUUGGGGGGCUGAGGUGGGAGGAUCACUUGAGCCCAGGAGGUUGAGGCUGCAGUGAGCUGAGAUUGUGCCACUGCACUCCAGCCUGGGUGACAAAGUGAGACCCUGUCUCAA
rnacentral:SRP_RNA from 1 species